rnacentral:rRNA from 1 species
UAAAUCACAAUGCGGAACAAUGUUUUGCAGAUGCAUUGAGACAACGUACAAACCUUAUCGAUAAACAAUUGGAGGGCAAGUCUGGUGCCAGCAGCCGCGGUAAUUCCAGCUCCAAUAGCGUAUAUUAACGUUGUUGCAGUUAAAAAGCUCGUAGUUGAAAUGAAGGGUGGUUGUGUAAUGAAUACAUUCGUGUAUUUUGUUAUUCUACUACCCUCCUUCUAAAUUCGAUAUAUGAGUAUUAAUUUACUUGUAUAUGGUUUUAGACGUUUACUGUGAGAAAAUUAGAGUGUUCAAAGCAGGCAUUUGCUUGAAUAUAUUAGCAUGGAAUAAUCAUGUAUGAUUUUCAUGAUGUAUUUGAUUGGUUUGGUUCAUGAGAAUAAGAUUAAAAGGGACAGUUGGGGGUAUUCAUAUUCAAUAGUCAGAGGUGAAAUUCUCGGAUUUAUGGAAGAUGAA